GUCGAACGGUAGCACAGAGGAGCUUGCUCCUUGGGUGACGAGUGGCGGACGGGUGAGUAAUGUCUGGGAAACUGCCCGAUGGAGGGGGAUAACUACUGGAAACGGUAGCUAAUACCGCAUAACGUCGCAAGACCAAAGAGGGGGACCUUCGGGCCUCUUGCCAUCGGAUGUGCCCAGAUGGGAUUAGCUAGUAGGUGGGGUAACGGCUCACCUAGGCGACGAUCCCUAGCUGGUCUGAGAGGAUGACCAGCCACACUGGAACUGAGACACGGUCCAGACUCCUACGGGAGGCAGCAGUGGGGAAUAUUGCACAAUGGGCGCAAGCCUGAUGCAGCCAUGCCGCGUGUAUGAAGAAGGCCUUCGGGUUGUAAAGUACUUUCAGCGAGGAGGAAGGCGUUGUGGUUAAUAACCGCAACGAUUGACGUUACUCGCAGAAGAAGCACCGGCUAACUCCGUGCCAGCCGCCGCGGUAAAAGGG
rnacentral:rRNA from 1 species